rnacentral:lncRNA from 1 species
CAAAUUAAGAACCCAUAAUUAAAUUUCCUGCAAGAGCAUUUUGUGACACUAAAAAAUUUCAUCAACUUUCUCAUGGCUUUUGUGGGUGCCAACACCAGCUUUCUACCGAAUACUAUUCCACGUUUCUCUAGCUCCAAGCCCUACCAUCAAAAAGCUCUUAUCAUGUGAGUAGAUAACGAUAAAUUUAUGCUUUGAGAAAACUCUAAAACCAUAUUUGUGUCUGUGUAUAUGAACGUAAAUAUAUAUUAUGCAGCUAGUUAGCUAAGUUUGCAUUUUUGGUGAUCAUUAAUUUGUGAUUAAUAAUUUAUUCUAAUCCUUCUCUUUUCGUGGAUCAGAAAAAGUGCUAAACGGGAUGUCCCACCGCCCAGUUCUGGGAAAAAACCUCCGCAAAUUAAUAGUGUUCUGAUGGCCUCCAGGAGCACUGGAUUCAGAAAAGUCAUCGUUGCUUCUGGUAGCUUAAGUAUUGUUGAAGAUAACAAGAAAACUCAAGUAAUAGAUGAUGAUUCUAUUGCUUCGAAGAUUGAGAAUACUGAUUAAGACCAUCUUCUUCAUUUGACUACAUCAGGCUUUUUUAGUUUUUUAUUUUUCGCAGUCUCUUAACGUAUAGCAGCUUAAACAAACUGUAAGUUGAUGAUAAUUAAUGGCCAUAUGAAAUUAAUUCUUCUAAUCCCGUUUUAACAACAAACAAAAUUAAUUAGUGGUGUUUACUUCUUUAGUUGUUUAUUUUCCGUUUGGUUCUUGGGAAAAAAAUGUAUGAUAUAUGCUUUGAGAGAAAACCAGCCUCAUCACUUGUAUGUAGCCGAAUCAAAUGAGUAAAACGGGGAUAUACAUAUAUAUUAUCACUGGGAAAAGAAAAGCC